rnacentral:pre_miRNA from 1 species
ACAACAAUUGGACAGCCGGUCUUCCGAGCAAUAUCACCCGCUCGGUGGAAGAUCUUCCCUUAGUCGU